rnacentral:rRNA from 1 species
UGCAGUCGAACGGAAAGGCCCUUCGGGGUACUCGAGUGGCGAACGGGUGAGUAACACGUGGGUGAUCUGCCCUGCACUUUGGGAUAAGCCUGGGAAACUGGGUCUAAUACCGAAUACACCUUGCUGGUCGCAUGAUCUGGUGGGGGAAAGCUUUUGCGGUGUGGGAUGGGCCCGCGGCCUAUCAGCUUGUUGGUGAGGUUAUGGCUUACCAAGGCGACGACGGGUAGCCGGCCUGAGAGGGUGACCGGCCACACUGGGACUGAGAUACGGCCCAGACUCCUACGGGAGGCAGCAGUGGGGAAUAUUGCACAAUGGGCGCAAGCCUGAUGCAGCGACGCCGCGUGAGGGAUGACGGCCUUCGGGUUGUAAACCUCUUUCAGCAGGGACGAAGCGCAAGUGACGGUACCUGUAGAAGAAGGACCGGCCAACUACGUGCCAGCAGCCGCGGUAAUACGUAGGGUCCGAGCGUUGUCCGGAAUUACUGGGCGUAAAGAGCUCGUAGGUGGUUUGUCGCGUUGUUCGUGAAAACUCACAGCUCAACUGUGGGCGUGCGGGCGAUACGGGCAGACUGGAGUACUGCAGGGGAGACUGGAAUUCCUGGUGUAGCGGUGGAAUGCGCAGAUAUCAGGAGGAACACCGGUGGCGAAGGCGGGUCUCUGGGCAGUAACUGACGCUGAGGAGCGAAAGCGUGGGGAGCGAACAGGAUUAGAUACCCUGGUAGUCCACGCCGUAAACGGUGGGUACUAGGUGUGGGUUUCCUUCCUUGGGAUCCGUGCCGUAGCUAACGCAUUAAGUACCCCGCCUGGGGAGUACGGCCGCAAGGCUAAAACUCAAAGAAAUUGACGGGGGCCCGCACAAGCGGCGGAGCAUGUGGAUUAAUUCGAUGCAACGCGAAGAACCUUACCUGGGUUUGACNUGCACAGGACGCUGGUAGAGAUAUCAGUUCCCUUGUGGCCUGUGUGCAGGUGGNGCAUGGCUGUCGUCAGCUCGUG